UAAAGAAGACAAGAGACGGAUUGGAAGUGUCUCUUGGCUUGGAAAGAACAGCCAGGUAAAACAAAUCCACGGCCGAGAUAUCGUUUCAGUCGUCAUACCUUCAUUGACGAUUCGAUUGUUGCUCGUCCACAA